rnacentral:rRNA from 1 species
CUACGGGGCGCUCCAGUGGGGAAUAUUGCACAAUGGGCGAAAGCCUGAUGCAGCAACGCCGCGUGGAGGAUGACACAUUUCGGUGCGUAAACUCCUUUUAUAUAAGAAGAUAAUGACGGUAUUAUAUGAAUAAGCACCGGCUAACUCCGUGCCAGCAGCCGCGGUAAUACGGGGGGUGCAAGCGUUACUCGGAAUCACUGGGCGUAAAGAGCAUGUAGGCUGGUUUGUAAGUUGGAAGUGAAAUCCUAUGGCUUAACCAUAGAACUGCUUUCAAAACUACUUACCUAGAGUAUGGGAGAGGUAGAUGGAAUUUCUGGUGUAGGGGUAAAAUCCGUAGAGAUCAGAAGGAAUACCGAUUGCGAAGGCGAUCUACUGGAACAUUACUGACGCUCAGAUGCGAAAGCGUGGGGAGCAAACAGGAUUAGAUACCCUUGUAGUC